UAGUACUAUAUGUGUUCAGCCUAUGAAGUGUCACAGCAACACAAGGCUGUCUGUGAGGAUAAGAGUGUGGGGUCUUAUCAGGCACAAGCCAGACACACACAAACACAUAUUCCUGCACACGCACUACACACGCACACAUGAGACGCUGUGCACAAGAGGAAAUCACACUCACUCAUAUCAGCUAUAUGGCAACACUUGCCAGUUAUCUUCCUUUGGGAAGGAUGAGGGGGGGGGUGAAACAAGCUGGAGGAAAAAAAAAACUGUUGUAAAGGUCAAGGGACAAGCCUGCAAACUGAAGGGUGAAGAAUUAAAAUUCAAAAAAUGAUGUUGUCAGUAGAAUUGAUAGUGAAAGAUAAGGGGCUUUAAGAACUGUAAAAUUCUUUGGAAGUCAAGAAUGAAGAGAAGAUGGCACUUCUGAUCAUAAGAAAAAGAGCAGCACAUAGAGAAGAAGGCAGCCGUGACUCAUGGAAGAAAGAAGCCAUGAGCAGCCCAUAAAAGUUACAAGGGGCCCAGCUGAUUCAUUUUCCAAAGCCUAAAACACAGUUGAGGAAGUGUCUACGAUGGAUUGAAGGCUGGCGGAAGACCGCACGUACAACUAACUAUGGACAAUAUCAACAAACACAAGGCUGUAUGUUCGAAGCAUGCUGGGGCUGCUGUAGAAGGUUGCCCUCACAGUUCUGAGGACCAGCGUUCAAAUCCCAGCCCCAUCUGCAUGGUAUUUGCAUUGUUCUCCCCGUGCCUGUGUGGGUUUUAUCCGGGCACUUGGGUUUCCUCCCACAUCCCAAAAAUACACUUUAAUUGAAGACUGAAUUGCCCCUAGGUGCGAUUGUGAGUACAACUGUUGACUGUCUCCAUGUGCCCUGGGAUAGCCAGGCCACCAGUUCAGGGAGUACCCUGCCUCUCGCCUGAUGACAGCUGGAAUUGGCUCCACCACAUCCAUGACCCUCGUGAGGAUAAGCGGCUUAGAAAAUGGAUGGAUGGAUGUUUUUGUUUUUUUUCCCCCCAGAGUAUCCAGUAUCAGCACAAACAGCUAUGGUUGAAACACGUUUGAUUGCCAGUCAAUUUUUUUUCUUUUGCACUGAUUGGUGGACAGGCCUCAAAUAGUAUGCCUGUUACUUGUGGAGCUCACUCAUUAGGAGAUAUUUUUCUUGUACGGACUAUGAAUUGUCAAGGAAAAUCAAAAUGUGUCCAUAUUUUACUACUUUUUCCAGCUGUCAAUCUUUUUCUUAACUAGAAAAUUCUUACAAGUGUUUAUGAGUCUAUCCUUGUCCUCUCAAUACUUUCCUCUCUAUUCUUUCUGUGCACUUUGUGAUUGUGUAUAAUUGACACCUCUUCCCCAUGUGCCCAGUGCAAAGACUCGUCACGUGCAUGCACUGUACACGCACGCCUUCAUUGUGUGUGCUGCUGUAUGGAUUUUCUUCAAUAUCGUAACACCCUACAUAGUAUAGUGGUACCAUGACUUACAAGUUUAAUUUGUUCUGUGAGACAGCUCUUAAUUUACGUACUUAUGGAUCAAAACAAAUUCCCUACUGAAAAUUUUGAUCAAUAAAAAUAUCACUCAAUUUUAUUAAAGAAAACAUGGUGAAAGAGAAGGGGAAAGAGAAUUUCAAGAAAUAAUAUCAAUAAUUACCAUACGUUGGGACAAGAAAUGACAACAACAGCUAUAGAUCUUGUGCACCUAUGUCACCGAAAUCACGUGACUGGCCAUAUUGCCUGUCAAGCAAAGCAUUGUACAAUGCUAUGUCCGUUGAGACUAAACGAAAAUACGUCUCCCAGAGUUUUAUCAGAUACUGUUAAACAUUUAAAAGGUGAUAAUAAACAAAGGUAUGUGGAAAAAUUAGAGACACUUGACAUAGAGGACCCAUAUUUAAUUCCAAAGUUGAUGUUUUCGCCGAUAAAAUCGAUUAUUAACCCGCUUCCGCUUGUCUUAGACAACAGGAUCUACACAUGUAUCUGGUAAGUAAGUCGUCGAGAUUUACACAGAAGAGUUUGAAAGCGUAGAAAAGUCUGGACACAUGCAAAUACUUCGUUGCAUGAUCUGUUCUCAUAUAAGAAUAAAUACCACAUGGUGAUGGAGCCACUCAGAUUUUUUCAAUACAAAUACCAAUAUUUAAAUAAAUGACCUCUGGUUAUACACAAACCAGGGGGGAAAAAAAGACAGCGAGUCGGCUCCUCCAUACACAGAAGCAUGUUGCGGCCACACGUUAAACUUCGAUAAACCUUUCCGUGACAAUUUUUUUUUUUAAUAUGCAUUGUUCUCAAAAGAGUCCAAUGCGUAUUUUAAAAUGAAAAUAAACCACUGGGAUAGGCUUUAGGCCCCCGUACACGGAAGCGUGUUGUGGCAACAUGUUAACCUCUUUGUGACCGACGGUUUAUUUUCUUUUUUUAAAUACGCAUUGGACUCAUUUGAGAAUGCAUAUUAAAAAAAAAAAAAAACAUCUGUCAGGGAGAUGUUUACCAAAGUUUCGCUUCCAUGUACAUUGGAGAUGACCCCCUGUUUGCCAACUUGGCAUUAGAAAUACUGUUUGGGAAUUUGAGAUUGAGAAGAAUAAUUCCUACCUGAAAUUAAGUGAUCGCUAUACAGUCGUGUGUAUUUGGUUGGGCGCCAUCUAUCAUGUUUAAUUGCAGAAAGCCAAAGAUCAUUUCUGGUCUUUUCAGGUGGUAUUCUAUAGAAUGACCUCUGAAUAUCUGUCUUGUCUGUUGUAACAACCAACUGCACAACAAGUCUCAGGCAUAGUGAAUAUUCUGCUCCAGUUCAAUGUCCCCCACACUGUCGAGCAGCUCUUUUUGACCAUCAAUAUGGCGCCAUGAAAAUGGUGACGUCACGUGCAUGAGCUCUAAUGCCAGUCAAACAAAGCAUUGUUGAAAGGUAAUUCCGUCGAGACGAAACGGAAAUAUUUUUUAUAGCAUCACACCCAGAGUUUUCUCUGAUACCGUUAAACAUUUAAAAGGUCAUAAUAAACAAAGGUACAUGGAAAAAUUUGAGACACUUGGCAUAGAGGAUCCAUAGUUAAUGUCGGAGUCGAUGUUUUCGCCAAUAAGAAAUUUGACUGUUAAUCCGCUUCCGCUUAUCUUGGAAAACUGGAUAUACACACGUAUCUGGUGAAUAAGUAGUUGAGAUUUACAGAGAAGAGUUUGAAGGUGUAUAAAAGUCUGGAUGCACACAAAUACUUUGUUGCUGAAUGUGUUCUCAAUCAGGAAUAAAUCCCACAUAGUGCUGGGCCCACUAAGAUUUUUUCAAUACAAAUACCAAUAUUUAAAUAAAUGACUCCUGGUUUUACACAAACUCGCAUUCAUUAACUAUGACUGGAAAAACGUUUAGGACAGGGAGUCGUCUCCUCCGUAGACAAGCGUAUUGCUGCCACACGUUAACCUCCGUAGGCCUUUCUGCAAUAGACGGUGUAUUUUUUUUAAAUACGCAUUGUUCUUAAAUGAAUUAACGUGGCAUUAUAAAUACUUCUUGAUAAUUUGAGAUUGAGAAGAAUAAUUCCUACCUGAAAUGAAAAGAUUGCAACAGAGGCAUGUGUAUUUCGUUGGGCACCAUCCAUCCCAUUUAAUUGCCAGAAUCAAUUGAUCUUUUCUCAUCUUUUCAGCUGCUAUCCCUUAGAAUGAUCUAUUUCAGGCUUGUCAAACAAAAGGCACGCGGUUCCGGCCCGCGAGGAGGUUUGAUCAGGCCCACAUGAUAAUUUAAAAGUAAAAAAUGCAUAAAAGACACGGAAUAAAUAUUAUCAAUAAGAUGCCAUUCAUUGAUUAUCCGCUAGGGGCACACUGUUGAGUAGAAGACAACAUUGUUUUGAUCAGAGAAGAAGACAACAGCAGGCUCCGAGACAACCUAACACAGUAGAUGGUAUCAAUGCGGUAUCUGCUGGUUGUUACAACUUUGUUUUAACCCUGGUCUCUACCCCUCCCCUAAACCCUCUUUAGCCAAAAUGUCAUCCAAAUGGAGAAAAGUAGAUAUGGAGUGUAGAAUUUUCAAUGACAAAUGGACCACGUCCCAUUUAUUUAUAGAAAUGCAUGGAAAACCUUUGUGCUUGGUGUGUUUGCAACAAGUUUUGGAGUAUUGAAGGAAUAUAUUCGACACCACUACGAGACUCUUCACAGUGAAAAAUAUGACGGCUUACAAGGACUACUGAGAAGAGAUAAAAUCAACGAAUUGCAGGCGGGUCUUGAGAAAACAGUAGCCAACUUUCAUCCAGAGCCGACAAUCAGUGAAGCAGUGGUAAAAGCCAGCUACCUAAGUAAUUGCUACCGAAAUAGCAUUAGCAUCAAAGCUGUAUUCCAUCGGGGACUUUGUUAAACGAUGCAUGGUGAAGGCGGCUGAACUUGUAUGUCCUGAGAACCGACAAGCGUUUGCCAAUAUUAGCCUGUCGAGGAAUACUAGAACAGAGGAUUUCAGACCUAUCAGCAGAUAUAGACAGUCAAUUGAAAGAGAGUCAAGUCAUUUAUUACAUUUUCUGUUGCAAUUGACGAGAGCACUUACAUCACAGACGUGGCACAACUGGCCUUAUUUAUCAUGGAGUUGAUGAGACAUUGACUGUUACUGAAGAGUUUGAGUUGGUGCCAAUGAUGGACACCACAACAAAAAUUUAGAUGUUUAAUGUUAGUCAGCAACUUCACUACAAAAAAGCGUGGUGGAAUUCUACCUUUCAUGCGACUGAAUUUUCAGUAUGUAUUGUGUGUGUUUCAUGUAUGACUGCGCAUUUAGAGGAGAUGUGAAUACUUUCUUCAUUACACAUUUAAUUGCACUCUCCUUAGUCUGUAAAGUGUGGUGAGGUGAGCUGUGGGAAUUAUAAACGAUUAAAUUCAGAUUUUAUUUGAACAUGAGAAAAUGGUUUAAAAAUUCCUUUCUUUAUAAAUCUCAUUUAAUCUUAGUGCAUUACAUAUUUUUCAAUACCAAUUACUUAAAGUUUUGUGCCUUUGUACAAUCAGUGGGAUCAGUUGCUAUGCAUAUAUGAGUGAUAAAAGUAAAUUGCACAUGUCUAAUGAAAUCUGACGUGUUUCAUAAAAUGUUUUGUCAAAGGAAUGUUCGUUAAAUUUUAACAUUUUCCUCAUGUUCUUGUGCUUCUUUACACCAAAACAAAGGAAAGACAUGAUAUUUUGGUUAUUUAUAGUAGAGUAUGGUAUCAUUUUAAUGGUCCGGCCCACUUGACAUCUCCAUAGGCCGUAUGUGGCCCACAGUGUGAAAUGAGUUUGACACCCCUGAUCUAUUUGAAGAACUGUCUCAUCUAUUGUGACAACCAACAGCACAAUAGGUCACAGGCAUUGUGAAAAAUCUGCUCCGGUUCAACAACUCCCACACUACCAAGCAGCUUUAUUUGACCGGCAAUAUGGCGCUGCAAAAAUGGUGACGUCACAUGCACAAUCUCUAUAGAAGAUACAACGAUAUUCCUAGACCUGAAUUUAAUCAUAGUUCUCUUCAUAAUAAUCAAAUCAUGAGGUGCUGAGAUCCCCAUAGGUACUGUAGAGAGUGAUUCAAAGACUGAAAUUAUGAUCAUUUGUUGAAGGCGGCACGUUGGACACAUAGUUAGCACAUCUGCAUGACAGUUCUGAUAACAUGGAUUAAAAUCCGGCUGUGCCUGUGUGGAGUUUGCAUGUUCUCCCCGUGCCUGGAUGGGGUUUCUCGGGUACUCCGUUUUUCGCCCACAUCCCCCAAAAAACACGUUAACUGAAUACUGAAUUUCCAGUAGAUGUGAAUCUUUGUGUAUCUGCUAUUAAUUGGCGUUCAGUUCAGAGUGUACCCCACCUCGUACCCAGAGAUAACUAGGAUAAACUCCAGCAUACCAGCAAUCCCAGUGAGGAUAAGUGGUAUGGAAAAUGGAUGGAUGUUGUGUUGAAAACUUUGUCACAACUUUAUGUUCUAUUUUUAGUGUAUUGGCUUUAUGGCCUUAUUCAGUCUAUAAACAAAUGAAUGUUAAACCAGGAAUAACUUUUGGAAUUGACGCCUGGGAGCAACAAUAAGCAAUUAUUAUAUUCUGCUACAAUCACAAACUUUAACUAGUAGGUACAAAUAUUAAAACAAGUACCGACUGAUUAUGAAUUCAAUAAGCAAAGAAAACAAUUUAGUAAAGGUCAGAAUUGAAACAAUAGUGCUUGCUUGUUAAGAUUUCCAAGCCAUGAUUUAAACUUAGCAGGUAGCUCAGCCUAAGACCUGAAAAUAAAAGACUUAUCAUGGCAUCCUUUUAAUGAUAAUACUGGUCCCUGGGAGCAGUAUCAGGAAAAGUACUUUGCAAACUCCCUCACUUUGUAAAUAUAUAAUACUCAAGAUAUCCAUAAUUCUUCAUGCAUUUGGACUAGCUGCCUUGGACAUUUUGUCCUCUUUUUGCCCCUUGCUGACUCCAGUGCCUCAAUAUAGGAAGUGCUUACAUUGGUUCUUUAUUUGUGCAGUAGUCAGCCUUAAGACAGAAACACAACACAAGCCAGAUAUAAUAUCUAGCAAAGCUGAGGAGAUGAACGAGCAAAUUUUGAAGGGCAAUAAAUAUUCUUCACUCUCGAUGACUAUACUCCUCCAUUUCCUGAGGGGUAUAUUACAGGAUUUAGAGAGGCAAGGGUCCAAGUGCUACUGCCCUAAGUUCCUUUCACAAAUUUGUUUCAUUUCUUUUCUACUGUCUGUCAGAAUCUCAAUGCUGAACUCUCACCUUUUCCUUUUGGACUCAAUUUUAUCUUAAGCUAUUUCUCGUACAUACAUAAAUCCUGGUUGACUCCUUGCAAAGGAAAAUAAGGAAAGUAUAGCUCCUUUUCCUGGAUGUCAAACCUCCAAAACCAUUAACAUUAGUUGCCACUUUUAGCACAACGCGCCAUCACCAUAUUUCAUCAGUACGCUUUCUUUUCAUUUUUCAUAUUCUUCUUUCAUUGUACAUUAUUACUCAGCCCCUAAGAUAGACCUGAGCAAAGUACAACACGCGCCACAUCCAGCAUGUUGGCCUUUUCUGUACAGUCCACAUGAGAUCAAGAAACAGAAAUAAACCCCAAUAGAUCAAUGUGUUACUUUUAUUUUGAAAGUAAGAUUAUUAUCACAGUUGUGCUUCCCAUUAUUGGCAACCUCGAAGUACAAAAUGUGGUAUAAUGAUUCAAAGGAUUUUUUUUUCUAUAAAUAACUUGUGGUUGAUACAUGAGCAUAUAUUUUAUGGACAAAUGAAACAAAAAUAAUGCUUUUUAGCAAUGCACCCAAUCAGUUUGUGCACAGACAAGCGCAAUGAAGAAUAAGCAAAACACUGCCAACAGUCAUGCAUGGAGGCGGAUCCAUAAUGCUGUCUCACCUGUGUAAUAAGACUUGUUUUAUGGCAAAAAUCAUGGGUUCAAAAUAUUGUAAAAAGCACAGUUAUGGACUUUACUGGGGAAAAAAAGGACUGUUUUACCAUGGGCAGCAAUGAGACCUGCUGACAAUCCAAUUGAAUAUGUUUGGGAAAAGAACCUUCCAAAUGUUCAAGAGGUUGAACACAUUCCAAAGGAAAUGUGAAAAAAAAUACCACCUGAUGAGUGCAAAAAGCUUAUAGAUGGAUACAAGAAAUGUUUGGAGGCUGUCAUCGCUGUCAAAGGGUGCGCAACUAAAUAUUAAAGAGGGGCUCCUUUGAUUGUUGAAUAUGCUGUUUUCUGGUCUUGUCAAGUCCUGUGACUUAUCCAAAGUCUGCGCAGAACAACUUGCUCCAUUCUUCACAAAAAUCUUCAGUAGGUCUCUAGAACUGUGUGAAGCACCAGACUGCUUCAAACGCUCCGCAACCAUCCCGCGAGUUGCCUUGAUAUCUGUGAUCAUGAAGUCCGUUGAAUGCCUUGUGCUGGACUACCUCAAGAGCGUUGCAGGUCCCAAAUUGAACCCAAUGGAGUAUCCCAACAAGCUAACAGGUCUCUGGCUGAUGCAGUCAUCAUGGGUCUGCACUUCAUCCUUGAACACCACGACAGUCUAGGAACCUAUUGGAGGAUCCAAUUCGGGACUUCAGCUCUGCAUUCAAUACCAUCAUCCCCAAACUCCUCUCCAAGCUUCUCCACCUUGGAGUCUCGCCUGCCAUCUGCGAGUGGAUCUAUAACUUCCUGACACGCAGGACACAGCAGGUGAGGCUAACCUCAUCCACACACACACACCAUCAUCCCAAGGUUGUGUCCUCUCCCUGUUGCUCUUCUCGUUCUAUACAAACGACUGAACCUCAAGUCAAACUCCUGAAGUUCGCAGAUGGCGCCACAGUUGUCGGCUCAUCAAAGAUGGCGACGAGUGUGUAUCAACAGGAAGUCAAGAGGCUGGAGCUUUGGUGUGGCUAACACAACCUGGAUCUGAACAAAUUAAAGACUGUAGAAAUGAUUGUGGACUUCAGGAGGCAACCUUCACCACAGCUGCCCCUCAUGAUGUCUUGUGUCAAAUAUACCUUUAAGUUCUUGGGAAUUAGAGUUUCACAGGAUCUGAAGUAGGAGACAAACAUCCAUUCUAUCCUAAAAAAAAAAAAAAAGCCCAACAAAAGGUACUUCUUGGGGCUUUUGAGGAAGCAUGGCCUGUCACAAGAGCUGCCUUCACAGUUCUCCACAUUGUCUAUUCAAUGAAUACUGUGUACUUCAAUCACAGUCUGGUUUGGGGCUGCCACAUACAAGGAAAAACUCAAACUCAGGACAAGAGUGGGCAGGAUGCAUCCUUUGCACAACUGUGAAUUGACUAUUGUUUUUCAUACUCAACAUGUAUGUUGUACUAGGGCGAGACAAAUUAUGUGUGUGUUGUCACAUACUUGGUCAAUAAAGAUGAUUCUGAUAGUAAUUCACAGAUUAACACCCAGAAUUACGUGUAUGUGGAUGGUGGAUGUGUGGAUCUAGCUCCCAGCAUUCAAGGAGUACAAAAUACCCUACAAUGUCAGUGACGGUGACACCAACUUCUCUCAAGUCAACUAAAGCACAACAUUCUCACCAAUGAGUGAACUGAAGUCACACCUUCAACUAACCACCUCCAAAAGUACUUAUUCAGUCUCAAACAGAAGUGCUCAAUGUGUCGAUCAUAUGACAAAAAAAAAAAAAAAAAAAAAAAAAAGAUGUCAGACUAUCAUCAACCCCGUUGCUUGCUUCAGGUGUGCCCAAUACGUCAAGAUAUAUUGGUCAAGCUCAAAGGUAGUGUUGGUAUAACACAUGACAUUAAAACGUAGACAUCGGGCUAUCACUAUGAAAUCUUCGUAAUCAUAAAUGUAAUUUUCAUGUGGUAAACUGAUGCCAUAACCAGAGAGUAUCCAGGCCCCGUCCAUUCCCAUUUUCCCAAGAUGUCAUGAGCAAAACCGCUAAACUUUAUAGUGAAAGCUAUAAACCGGUAUCUUGUGGUAUUAUUUGGGCACUAGAUGCUUAAAAUAGAAAUGUAAAUGGGGUAGAUGGUUCUGUAUACUGGACUGAUAUGGUUAUUUGAGCUGUAGAAUUUUGUGUAUGUGAACAGAUUUGUUUUUUUUUUAAUCCACACCUGUGCAUGUAAAUGCUGCAUACCCAUGGAAAGAACAGAAUAAAAUUGUUGUUGUGAGAGUCAACAUAUUCACCAGAAAAUGGCAGAUCAUCCAGACCAUCUGCUGCAGUGCACCCAGGUUUUAUUGCCAGGUGUCUGAACUCAUGAGUACUUGAGGUUGCCGAUCUCCAAUUCAGGCAACAGUAUCGGCAGUGAAGGAAUUUCCACAACACGAGUAAGAGCUAUUUCUAUUCCUAUUUCUAAUGCAGCCACAUGGGGGCACAAACCAGUGCAAUCUGUAGGCCGGUCCCAAGCCCGGAUAAAUGCAGAGGGUUGCGUCAGGAAGGGCAUCCGUCAUAAAAACUGUGCCAAACAAAUAUGAGCGUUCAUCUAAAGAAUCCCAUACUGGAUCGGUCGUGGCCCGGGUUAACAACGCCCGCCCCCGACACUGCUAACCUGCAGGCCGUCGGUGGAAAUUCAGCUACUGUGGGUCGAAGAGGAGGAAACCGGAUCCAUCGUCAGAAAAAAAGAGGAAUGCACAGAGCCUACAACUGAGUGUAGGCACUUUGAAUGUUGGGACUAUGACAGGAAAAGCUCAGGAGUUGGUUGACAUGAUGAUUAGGAUAAAGGUUGAUAUUCUGUGCAUCCAAGAGAGCAGGUGGAAAGGUAGUAAGGCUAGAAGUUUAGGAGCAGGGUUUAAAUUAUUCUACCACGGAGUAGAUGGGAAGAGAAAUGGAGUAGGGGUUAUUUUAAGGGAAGAGCUGGAUAAAAAUGUCUUGGAGGUGAAAAGAGUAUCAGAUCGAGUGAUGAGACUAAAAUUUGAAAUUGAGGGUGUUAUGUAUAAUGUGGUUAGCGGCUAUGCCCCACAGGUAGGAUGUGACCUAGAGUUUAAAGAGAAAUUCUGGAAGGAACUAAAUGAAGUAGUUCUGAGCAUCCCAGACAGCGAGAGAGUUGUGAUUGGUGCAGCUAAUUCAGUAGAAAUGUGCUGAAAAGGCUGUGCAGCAGGUACGUUUAAGGCAAUGUUUUUGGAAUCAUUACAGUUUGAUGAACAGAAAACUGAUAAUGCCCAUGAUUGAUCUACCAUGAGGGAAAGACCUGUUCAAAAUACCCAGAAAGUUGAAUUGAGAAAAUGCUCUCUUUUGAACCCAAUAGAAGUCAUGCACCUGAUCCCCCACCCCACCAAAAAAAUAGUCCCUUUGAUUGGCCAUUACAGGCUUUGUCUCAGGCAUGUGUCUCCCUGUGUGUGCCAUUUGAUUUGUUAUGUGGAAUAAAAUAACAUUGGAUUGGUACAAACAGGGCCCAACGUGGGAGUGGAAGUUAAAGUACAGGGCCCAACGUGGGAGUGGAAGUCAGAGUCUAAAAGUAUAUUGCGCAAGCAAUACUUGAUUAAUAAAAAAAAAAACAGUGGUGUAUAGAGUAAAAGUAAAGCUUUAUCUUAAUGCAAACAAUCCAGUAAAAGUCUGACCCUAACCUACUCUAACAAGUAAAAUUCAUCCAAAAUGUUACUUGAGUAAAUAUAGCGCCUUACUAUAUACCGUAAGAGUACCCUCUGCUAAUGUUGUCAAUAUAAAUGUAAGUUCUAUUAGCUUUCAGAGAUAACUGAAUUACCUGGCAAUCAAAAAUAUCUAACAAACAUAUCUAAUAUAAUAUCUAAUGACCACAAAUUAUGUGGGAGGGUUCAUAGACAAGUAAAGAAGACAAGUGGGCACCAUUCAUUGUUUCUUUCAUUAGGUAAUGCUUGUUUUUGCCUAUGGGUUUUACCUCUGAAAAUGGCAUUUUCUGUAAAGCAAACGUGAAAACCAGAUAGCAGUUCAUGGGUGAAAAUCAAUUCAUCUAGGAGCUGAGAAGGAGAAGUGAUAACAGCUAUUGUGCAAACACUGGGCAUAGCCGAUACUGUACAGCAAUUUGGAAUUUCCUGAAAAAGUAAAAACUACUGGUACUGCAGUCACUGUGAUUUGACGAGCACGAUCGCGCUCGCAAAUCUUCACAGUCAAGCACGAAAAAUCACGCGCGUAGAAUUUGCUACGAGUAAAAAAAAUAGAUAUUGAAAGACGUUGCUUAUUUUGUGUAGUCUUGACAUUAAUUUACCUGUUUAUUUCACAAACGUUGUGAACUAAAGCCUGCUCCUAAACAAUCAGUAUUCAUCUGGAAACAGGAAAUGUGAGUGAACCGUACUGAGCAUGUACGUAAGUGAUGCCAAAAGCACAUGUUCCGAGCUGCUUCACGUACUGCGAGUGCAUUUACGUAGAAAGUCAUCACCAUCAUGAGCCAUGUCAAAGGAAAUUCAGUUACACCAGGGGCACUCAAUGUGUCGAUCGUGUUGGUUGAUCAUGUGACAGUGUGCUCCAAAAAAAAAAAGUUACACUCAUCCACCUCGUCGCUAGAUUCAGGUGUGGCCAAUACAUCGAGUGCAUGCACAUAAAGGCACCUUCUAGCAAGCCGGCCUCCUAUUUACAGCAGUUGCGGCCCGUGCACCCCCCCCCCCAUCUUUUUUUUCUUCUCUUUUAAGCACACGGUCUAUAGAGCUUGUGCACCUACGUCAUAAAAUCAUGUGACUUUUGUUUACCUCGCCGUAUUACUGGUCAAGCUAAGCAUUGCUCAAUGCUAAGUUGGUUGGAGAUGACACAGAAAAAUGUCUUGUGGCACGACACCCAGAGUCUUGUCCGAUACCGUCAGUCAUGGAAAAAUUACAUAAACUCGGCAGAGAGGACCCGUAUUUAAUGUCGAAGUUGAUGAUUGGACUGUUAAUUCGCUUCCGCUUGUCUUGGACAACUGGAUAUACACAUGGACCUGGUGAGUAAAUCGUCGAGAUUUACACGGAAAAGUUGGAAAGCAUAUAAAAGUCUGGACGCAUACGAAAACUUUGUUGAUGGAUCUGUUCUCAUCAGGAAUAAAUCCCACAUAGUCACGUUUUUGACGGCUUGUGAACAGAGAAGUGUGUUCGGCAACACAUUAACCUUGUUCAUCUGCUUACAAAAAUAAAGGUGCAAUUAUGCCUCAGUGUCUCACGAGCGCCACCCUGCGCCUAAUAAUACGGUGCACCUUAUACAUGUAUAAAAUAAUGGAAUUGCAUCCGCAUCUGAAACCGAGCCUUUUAAUACGGUGCACCUUAUAGCUGUGAAAAUACAGUACUAAAAGUUAUGUUUUAGGUGUCCAUGACCCUUUAAGUAGAUGCAUGUUGAUGUUAUGGUUUACACACUGCAUUGUUAUGACGGCUCCCGAGAGAGCUCGUAUGGGAUACAAGUACGAGUUUUUCUUUUACCAAGCUGUUCUGAUUCCCAAUAAAAGUAUAAAAACAAUCCUAUCUACUGUCCAUUGUGGUGGAUGGGCCUCCAUCUUCAUAUAUAAUGCAAUGUUCAAGAUGAAGUGUGCAUCUCUUACGGCUGGUCCAAUUAAAUGUAUUGCACAUCAUAAAUAUGCCCGACCCAAAUGAAUUACUUCAGGGGAACAGCUUUCCAGAGAUCUACUGUAAUUGUUUAAAUCAAAAUUACAAAAAAGUAUUUAUGUAAACCUAGCUAUUGUGUGAGUGGUCCAAUAGGGCGAGCUGCUAAGCUUCUUAAGAGCUCUAACUCAGUAGCUUAUAGGCUAGCUUGUUAACUCGUGAUCUUGCUCGAGGAUGGACCAGCCCACACAACAAAUUGUUAACUUUCCCUCCAAUGUCUGUCAUGGUCUCUGUUUUGGUUGGGUUAGUUUUGUUUAUUUCCCGUGUUCCAUGUCUCAUCUGCUAAUUUUGGAUAGCCGAAAGAAACUUACUAUUUUUAUUUUUAAAUAAUAGCUUUCCAACAGUUUGUUUUUUUUUGGGGGGGAACUAUUUCACCAACUUGAAAAAAACUUUCUU